GCACUGCUGAGGAGUCCCAUACUAAGACGAAACGGCCGUCCAGUGU
rfam:Schistosoma haematobium scaffold667_25, whole genome shotgun sequence.